AUUACCCUGGUAAUAAUAGUAUGUUCUUGAACCCAAAGAUUUGGCGGAUUUUAUUCUUUUUAAGGAGCCUGUCCUGAAUUGAUAUCCACCGAGGGGAGUUACUUAUUUUGGUAUUCAUUUUGUAUACCUCCGUCAUCAGAGGAUCUUUUUAGAGUUAAUAUUCAAGAUAUACAUAUAUAGAAUGUCAGGUCAAGGGCAAUUUAUGGAUAAGUAGAGGUGGGCUACAAUAAAUUUAUUUAUACGGAUUUAGUUGUUAUUAUUAGCAUAAUGAAGGGGAUUUAAAAGUAAAAUUAUUUCCUAGAUAUUUUGAUUCUAGCUCUAAAAUAUGCACACAUCGCCCGUCGCUCUUAUUUUAAAAUAAGAUAAGUCGUAACAUAGUAGAGGUACCGGAAGGUGUCUCUAGAA
rnacentral:rRNA from 1 species